rnacentral:rRNA from 1 species
GACGAACGCUGGCGGCGUGCUUAACACAUGCAAGUCGAACGGACAGGCCCUGCUUUUGUGGGGUUCUCGAUUGGCGAACGGGUGAGUAACACGCGAGUAACCUCCCCUUGUCUUUGGGAUAACUUUAGGAAACUGGGGCUAAUACCGGAUAUGAGCUCCUGCUGCACGGUGGUGGAUGGAAAGUUUCGGCGGUGCGGGAUGGACUCGCGGCUUAUCAGCUUGUUGGUGGGGUAGUGGCUUACCAAGGUUUUGACGGGUAGCCGGCCUGAGAGGGUGACCGGCGACAUGGGGACUGAGAUACGGACCAGACUCCUACGGGAGGCAGCAGUGGGGAAUAUUGCACAAUGGGCGGAAGCCUGAUGCAGCAACGCCGCGUGCGGGAUGACGGCCUUCGGGUUGUAAACCGCUUUCGACUGUGACGAAGCGUGAGUGACGGUAAUGGGUAAAGAAGCAACGGCUAACUACGUG